UUCGAGACGUUCGCGUACUGGGUUUCGCACGACGACGACGACAGACAACAAAAAAGAAAAAUUGUAUUUUAGAAGUAAAGAAAAAAAGUUGAUUUUUUAUUAAUAAAAAAACGUAGUAGAGUGAAAUUUUGUGUUUUUAUUAAAAAUUAAAGCGAAUAAAAUGCAAAGCAAAAGAAUUAAUACAAAUUAAAACAAAACGUAAAGCUGGAAAAUGUUUUUUUCACAGUGUAAAGCUAAAAAUUAAAGCAUUUUUUUGUGUAAAAGAAGUUAAAUUCCCUGUCUAAUUGUUGUCUGUGAAAGUGUUUACCCUUAAACUAAAACCAUAAUAACAACAACAGCAACAUUUAACUAUAAACAAUUAAAAAUUCUAAAAAAAACAGUUUGUGUAUUGUGUUCCAUCGUUCGGCUAAAAUUUAAACCAAUAGAAAACAAAAAGAAACUUAAAAUUAAACGUCGUUUCGACAUCUUCCACAUAAUUAUUUUCAUCCUGUUAACAUCUUUAAACUUCUAUCCUGACAAAAUCUAAAGAAAAAUGGCUCAUCACAAUGCAAAUCUUUUGAGUUCGGAUAUAUCACGUCGUAAUCCACAAGAUGAAUAUGAGCUUAUACAGAAAAUUGGUUCCGGCACUUAUGGCGAUGUUUAUAAGGUAUGUAAAAUUUACGCCA